GACGAACGCUGGCGGCGUGCUUAACACAUGCAAGUCGAACGGAAAGGCCCCCAUCUUGGUGGGGGUGCUCGAGUGGCGAACGGGUGAGUAACACGUGGGUGAUCUGCCCUGUACUUCGGGAUAAGCUUGGGAAACUGGGUCUAAUACCGGAUAGGACCAUGGUUUAGUGUCUCAUGGUGGAAAGAUUAUUGUUUUGGUGCAGGAUGAGCUCGCGGCCUAUCAGCUUGUUGGUGGGGUAAUGGCCUACCAAGGCGUCGACGGGUAGCCGGCCUGAGAGGGUGGACGGCCACAUUGGGACUGAGAUACGGCCCAGACUCCGACGGGAGGCAGCAGUGGGGAAGAUUGCACAAUGGGCGCAAGCCUGAUGCAGCGACGCCGCGUGGGGGAUGACGGCCUUCGGGUUGUAAACUCCUUUCGUUAGGGACGAAGCCACGCUUGUGGGGUGUGGUGACGGUACCUUUGUGAAGAAGCACCGGCUAACUACGUG
rnacentral:rRNA from 1 species